CUGACCGCGCCGAACAAUCGCGUGAUAUGUUGCCGAAAGGUAUUAUCAUGAGGAAAGUCCGGGCUUCAUAGGGCAGGAUAACGGAUAACAUCCGCCGGAGGCGACUCCCGGGAAAGUGCAACAGAAAUAAACCGCCAUACACCUCAGUAUGGUAAGGAUGGAAAGGCGAGGUAAGAGCUCACCGACGUUCAGGUAACUGCGCGUGCCAUGUAAACCCUAUCCGAAGCAACACCUUGCAAAAUUCGGUUUGCCCGACCGAGCGAAAGCUCUAUGCAUGGUGGCAGUAUGGGUCUUCUCAUACGAGCCGUUUGGUAACAAACGGCAAAGAUAGAUGAUUGUUCUCGACAGAACCCGGCUUACAGGGCGGUCAGUCCU
rnacentral:RNase_P_RNA from 1 species